GGCCAGGUGGUGUAGUUGGUUAGCACUGCGGUUUUUGAUCGAGAUUUACCGCCGACCUGGGUUCGAGUCCCGGCCAGGCCU